GAUGAACGCUGGCGGCGUGCCUAAUACAUGCAAGUCGAGCGAACAGAUGAGGAGCUUGCUCCUCUGACGUUAGCGGCGGACGGGUGAGUAACACGUGGAUAACCUACCUAUAAGACUGGGAUAACUUCGGGAAACCGGAGCUAAUCCCGGAUAAUAUAUUGAACCGCAUGGUUCAAUAGUGAAAGACGGUGUUGCGGUCACUUCUAGAUGGUUCCGGGCCGGAUUAGCUAGUUGGUACGGUAAAGGGUUACCAAGGCAACGAUGCGUAGACGACCUGCGAGGGUGAUCGGCCACACUGGAAGUGAGCCGCGGUCAAUACGCCUACGGGAGGCAGCAGUAGGGAACCGUCCGCAAUAGGCGAAAGCCUUACGGAGCAACGCCGCGUGUGUGAUGAAGGUCCUCGGAUCGUAAAACUCUGUUAUUAGGGAAGAACAAAUGUGUAAGUAACUGUACACGUCUUGACGGUACCGAGUCAGAAAGCCACGGCUAACUACGUG
rnacentral:rRNA from 1 species